rnacentral:rRNA from 1 species
UACGAGGGGGCUAGCGUUGCUCGGAAUCACUGGGCGUAAAGGCGCGUAGGCGGCCAUUCAAGUCGGAGGUGAAAGCCCAGGCUCAACCCUGGAAUUGCCUUCGAUACUGUCUGGCUAGAGACCGGAAGAGGUAAGUGGAACUGCGAGUGUAGAGGUGAAAUUCGUAGAUAUUCGCAAGAACACCAGUGGCGAAGGCGGCUUACUGGUCCGGUUCUGACGCUGAGCGCGAAGCGUGGGAGCAACAGG